CCGACCGACCGACGAGGCGGAGCCCGGCGGCUGCUAAGUGACAGUGCCGGGGUUGAAUGCUGGCGCUACUCUGGCGUUGCGUGAUGGGGGAAGGGGGAAAAGGCGCCCAAUGGCCGGCUAGCCGAGGGCAAGGCAGCUCCCGGCACCUGAGAUGAGCGGCAUGGCCAUAGCAGCUUAAAGUGUGCAAUACAGAUACACAAGUGGACCAUUCAUGGAGACAAACAAGCUUUCUUACAAACCAGCCAAUCUACUUCAUAUUAGAUUUGCAAGCAAGGCACUCAACCAGUUCAUUUCUCUUUCUCCCUCUUUUUGCCUCCCCUUUUUUUAUAUAUAUGUGCAAAAUCUAUACAUUUGCUUUUUUUUUCUGGAUUGCACAAAUCUAUGUGCAACUGAGAAAAGGUGUACAAGACAUACCUUCUCAGUCUGUCAGUAAGAUUGAUCUUUUAUCAGAAAUGUUCUUCAACAGGUAGCUGUUCUGAACAACAUGCGGUGCUAAAUGAAGAAACAGUGGGCCAAUAGUCACAAUAAUGUUUUGUUACAAAUGCUCCACAUGCUUUACUAGUAGUACUUGUUUGUAAGGAUAAUAAAAAUGAGAAGGCUC